UACGUAGGGGGCAAGCGUUGUCCGGAUUUAUUGGGUUUAAAGGGUGCGUAGGCGGUCCUAUAAGUCAGUUGUGAAAUACGGCAGCUUAACUGUCGAGGUGCAAUUGAUACUGCAGGACUUGAGUACAGACGAGGUAGGCGGAAUUGACGGUGUAGCGGUGAAAUGCUUAGAUAUCGGCAAGAACACCUAUAGCGAAGGCGGCUCACUGGCCCGGUACUGACGCUUAAGAGCGAAAGCGUGGGGAGCAAACAGG
rnacentral:rRNA from 1 species